rnacentral:rRNA from 1 species
GUGAGACAGGUGCUGCAUGGCUGUCGUCAGCUCGUGUUGUGAAAUGUUGGGUUAAGUCCCGCAACGAGCGCAACCCUUAUCCUUUGUUGCCAGCGGUCCGGCCGGGAACUCAAAGGAGACUGCCAGUGAUAAACUGGAGGAAGGUGGGGAUGACGUCAAGUCAUCAUGGCCCUUACGACCAGGGCUACACACGUGCUACAAUGGCGCAUACAAAGAGAAGCGACCUCGCGAGAGCAAGCGGACCUCAUAAAGUGCGUCGUAGUCCGGAUUGGAGUCUGCAACUCGGCUCCAUGAAGUCGGAAUCGCUAGUAAUCGUGGAUCAGAAUGCCACGGUGAAUACGUUCCCGGGCCUUGUACACACCGCCCGUCACACCAUGGGAGUGGGUUGCAAAAGAAGUAGGUAGCUUAACCUUCGGGAGGGCGCUUACCACUUUGUGAUUCAUGACUGGGGUGAAGUCGUAACAAGGUAACCGUAGGGGAACCUGCGGUUGGAUCACCUCCUUA